UUACCUGGUUUGAUCCUGCCAGUAGUCAUAUGCUUGUCUCAAAGAUUAAGCCAUGCAUGUCUAAGUACAGGCCGAAACAAGGCGAAACCGCGAAUGGCUCAUUAAAUCAGUUAUGGUUCAUUGGAUCUUACCUUGUUUUACUUGGAUAACUGUGGUAAUUCUAGAGCUAAUACGUGAUACCCCAGCUCCGACCGCAAGGAAAGAGCGCUUUUAUUAGAUCAAAACCAAUCGGGCUUCGGUCCGUUCUCACUGUGGUGACUCUGAAUAACUUUGAGCUGAGCGCAUGGUCUUCGAACCGGCGCCAUAUCCUUCAAGUGUCUGCCUUAUCAGCUUUCGAUUGUAGGUUAUGCGCCUACAAUGGCUAUAACGGGUAACGGGGAAUCAGGGUUCGAUUCCGGAGAGGGAGCCUGAGAAACGGCUACCACAUCUAAGGAAGGCAGCAGGCACGCAAAUUACCCACUCCCGGCCCGGGGAGGUAGUGACGAAAAAUAACGAUGCGGGACUCUUCCGAGGCCUCGCAAUCGGAAUGAGCACACUUUAAAUCCUUUAACGAGGAUCUAUUGGAGGGCAAGUCUGGUGCCAGCAGCCGCGGUAAUUCCAGCUCCAAUAGCGUAUAUUAAAGUUGCUGCGGUUAAAAAGCUCGUAGUUGGAUCUCAGUUCCGGACCGACGGUUCACCGCCCGGUGCUUACUGUCGGCUUCCGAACAGCCGCACGCCGGCUCGGCCAGGGUGCUCUUCAUCGAGUGUCCUGGUUUCGGCCGGCACGUUUACUUUGAAAAAAUUAGAGUGCUCAGCGCAGGCUGCAACGCCUGAAUAAUCUGUGCAUGGAAUAAUGGAAUAGGACCUCGGUUCUAUUUUGUUGGUUUUCGGAACCCGAGGUAAUGAUUAAUAGGAACUGUCGGGGGCAUUCGUAUUGCGACGUUAGAGGUGAAAUUCUUGGAUCGUCGCAAGACGGACUACUGCGAAAGCUUUUGCCAAGAAUGUUUUCAUUAAUCAAGAACGAAAGUUAGAGGUUCGAAGGCGAUCAGAUACCGCCCUAGUUCUAACCAUAAACGAUGCCAACCAGCGAUCCGCCGGCGUUAUUCCCAUGACUCGGCGGGCAGCUUCCGGGAAACCAAAGUCUCUGGGUUCCGGGGGAAGUAUGGUUGCAAAGCUGAAACUUAAAGGAAUUGACGGAAGGGCACCACCAGGAGUGGAGCCUGCGGCUUAAUUUGACUCAACACGGGGAACCUCACCAGGCCCGGACACCGGAAGGAUUGACAGAUUGAGAGCUCUUUCUCGAUUCGGUGGGUGGGGGUGCAUGGCCGUU
rnacentral:rRNA from 1 species